rnacentral:rRNA from 1 species
UACGUAGGGAGCAAGCGUUGUCCGGAAUCAUUGGGCGUAAAGCGCGCGUAGGUGGCCCCGUAAGUCCGCUGUGAAAGUCAAAGGCUCAACCUUUGAAAGCCGGUGGAUACUGUGGGGCUAGAGUACGGGAAGAGGCGAGUGGAAUUCCUGGUGUAGCGGUGGAAUGCGCAGAUAUCAGGAGGAACACCAAUAGCGAAGGCAGCUCGCUGGGACGUUACUGACACUGAGGCGCGAAAGCGUGGGGAGCGAACAGG